rnacentral:lncRNA from 1 species
UGUCAAUAGACACAAGCCCAUUAGCCUUAAAUGUAUUUUAAGCCUUGCUUUGGGUGGUGGAUACUUUUGAAUAAAUAGUUCCAUUUUAGCCAUAGGCUCUCAUCCACUUCUUUCAGCAGCAAGAAGACAUUAUGUACUCUCUACCACAAAAUCCUCUGAGUUCUGAUGGAAGAAAAGCCUUUGAGAAGGAGCAGGCCACCCAUGGAAGCAGCCAUCUAUCAUCUAUGCUCUAUGGAGAAACAGCUCUGCUGGCCAUGGGAAGCCAUGGAGACAGAAAAUCAAAGCUGAUUCAGAUGCUCUACACCACAGAGGAAUGUUUUCAUAAAUGGUGGAUGUCACUUCAGCUGGGGCUCCCUCUCAUUACAGUGUGAAGGGGCAAAGGAAAAUGAAGUGGAUCUCUAUGUCUGGACAUGGAAAGAUAUCUAAGAUGUUGUGAGAAGAAAAAAACCAAUUCUGUGAAUAUGAUAUACAAUUUUCAUUUGUAUACAAUUUACUGAUGUAGCAACCAUUUAAUAAGAAGCUGGGAAAGGCAUCUAGGGGAAAUCAAGGAGAGAAAAGAUUUAUCAUGUCUGACAAGAUGGCUUUGGAAAGGUUGUGGUCUAUCUCCUCACAUGCAUGGGACCAAAACAGUUUGCAGUAAAUUAAACAGGUAAAUGUUGGAG